rnacentral:lncRNA from 1 species
AUGAAUGAGCAGAGCAGGGUAAAUGCAGCUGCUGUCACAUCUGUGCUCAUGCCCUGCCUCAGGGACAGGGCCAGGCUGGAAUCUGGCUGUUCCUGUGCCCUGUGCCCUGCUGUGGCUGCAGGCAGGCUCCUGGGAACCCUCUCUCUGCCAGGUAUCCCUCUCCUGCCUCAAACCACCCAGCCUGACAGAACUCCUGGUGCACAAAAGCCAGAGGAACUGCUCUGCAGGAGCCCCAGGCAGCUGCACAGGGCUGCAGAGCCUCUGCCACAUGCCAGGGAGCAUCUCACCCCGGGCCCUGCUGUGUGCCUGCUGCCAGAGCCUGUCCCUGCUGCCCGGGAAUUGCCCAACACCCUCUGUGCUGCAGGCUCAGGGCACACCGUGGCCAGGGGACUCUGCUGCUCCAGCUCCAGAGGGAAGGAGCAGGAGGAAAACACAGCUGGGAUGGUGUUUAUUAAGCAAAUUAACAGGCUGGGGAAAAUGAAGAAAGUGUGGGCACUUCUCACUUCAUGCAGAGGUGAGGGCUGGAAGCUGAGGCUGGGAGCUGGCCGGGGAUUCAUUCCUGCAGUGCAGCCCCUCUCCACUCCCCAUCACCUUCACUUUUGGGCGGCCCAGCCCACUCAGAGCCCUGAUGGUGCAGACUGCACCUCCCACACCGGGGUAGAAUCACAGAAUCACGGAAUCGCAGAAUCACAGAAUCGCAGAAUCACAGAAUCGCAGAAUCGCAGAAUCACAGAAUCGCAGAAUCACAGAAUCACAGAGUGGUUUUUCUGGGAAGGACCUGGCAGACCAUGCAGCUCCAGCCCCGUGCCCUGGGCAGGGACCCCUCCCGCCAGCCCAGCUCGCUCCGAGCCCCGUCCAGGCUGCCCUUGGGCACAGCUGGCAGCGGGGCAGGUGCCCGGAGCCCCCGGGCUGCCAUUCCCGGCCGCGGCAGCCUCGGGGGAGCUGCCCGGGGCUCUGCGGCCGGGGGGGCACGGCCAGGGCGAGGAGAGGCUCCCGGCAGGCAGGGAUUCCAGGGAUGCUCAGACACCGCCCCCCGCAUCCCCGGAGUGCCCCGAAGGGAGGAGAAACGGCAGAACAGCGGGGAAGAAGCCUGAGAACGUGCGGGCUGUGCUCGGCGGGGCGACCGGGCCGGGCUGGGUCUCGGUGCCUGGGCUGGGGACGGGAGGACAGCGGGACGGGGUGCGGGGGGGAUGCUCCCUCCGCGGGGCCGGCUGGCCAUGGCUGUGCUGCGGGGCAUCCCCUGGCACGUUCGUGCCGCGGCCCCGGUGCCGGGGACCC